CUGCUGCCUUCCGUAGGAGUCUGGGCCGUGUCUCAGUCCCAAUGUGGCCGAUCAACCUCUCAGUCCGGCUACCGAUCGUCGCCUUGGUGGGCCGUUGCCCCACCAACUAGCUAAUCGGCCGCGAGCCCAUCUUCCAGCGGAUUGCUCCUUUGGCUGCAUCGGGAUGCCCCAUCGCAGCGUUAUGCGGUAUUAGCAGUCGUUUCCAACUGUUAUCCCCCUCUGAAAGGCAGGUUGCUCACGUGUUA
rnacentral:rRNA from 1 species